GGGAGUCGGGCGGCGGGUCCCCGAGGACCAGUGUCCUGGUACGUGUGGGUAUCGGCGUCGAGGGGGGCCUGGGCAAUGGGCAUUUCCGGGUGCUCUGCAAUAAGGGGGGUGGGGGAGUCGGUCGUGGGCUAUGGAGAAGAAGGGGGCCUAGAUGAGCAGGCACUGUGCUUCUGAAGAGCAGCCACCUACUGUCAGGCCUGGAGCGACGGCGUGCAUGACGGCUAAGUGGCCCCUCGGCCUCGGAGGGUCCGAGCUUUUUCGCGCCCGCGCCUUCGCGUUCCAACUUGGAAGCCACACGGCCAGCCUUGUAAGCCAGGGGGCGGGGCAGUGCCGCAGGAGGGCGGGUCCGGGGGCGGAGCGGCAGCGCUCGCGCGCGCUCUCCACCAAUCAGGAGGAUUCGGGAGGGCCUGCGGAGCGUGACGUGAUCGGCAAGGCCGAGGGGGCGACCUGCGGCCUACAGAGCCUCGCCUGGCCGCGCGGGGUUGCGCGCGCACCCCGGGCCUCGUAGGCACGUUCAACCCCGUCGUGACUUAAAAGACAUGACGCUGGUAGGUCCUUUCUCGCUCCCCCGUACCUCCCGGAGCUGGUGACAGCCAGGUGGCGUGCGCACCGAGGGAACCAGCGAGCCUCUCCAAAGUUUUCAAGUACACUCCCGGUAGCCCUCUGGCGGGGGGCAACCGGCCCACCUCACCAGUUCCUGCGCCAGGUGGAGCGCAGUGAGGGUCUCGGUGUGGGAGACCUGUCCCCGGGACAGGGCUCUUGUGGCCAGGCAGGGGGGAAGGCACUGUAGGAGAGCUGCUAUAAGAGGUAGUCGGGGCCGCCUGUGGUUGUGCUGUGCCCCCAAAUCCAAGACCUCCAGUGACAUCCUGGCUGUCUGUGCGUGUGGAUGGGUCCUGUGCCUGUUGCCUUGCCUUGUGUUCCUUUGCAGUUCCCUGGAAUGGAUUGGACAGAGCGAAGCAUGCGGAAUCUGGGCCUCCAUUUGUUCUCUUUCCCCACAAAUGUCAGAAUUGGGUCUUCCCUUGUCCAGCUGGCUCUUGGGGAGUGGUGGCAUUUCCUGGGGUGUAGAAGAUUGCCUGAAGGAGAGCCCAAGGUGGCUGUAGGUAUGACAUGGGAUCAGAGAGGCCAAGAGGCUCGCCCAGUCACACAGCCAGAGAGGAGUUGAGAUGGCAAUGGUUUCCCUCACGUCUGGGCCUCCUUCGGUCCAAGAAGCAGCUGCUUGAGAUUACAGGGCAAGGAAUUGCCAGAAGAGUUUGCAGAUCUGGAUCCCGUGCCUAAAAUAGUAUGGCUCAGAAGGGCCUAAGAAGAGAGCUUGGGGCAUUGCUGGCACUUGGUAAAUAUUUGUUCAAUGAAUGGAUUUUUAUAGAUGGGAAACAAGAAAUGACCAAAAUGUGUUCUCUCUUCAGGAGACCACUGAAAACCAGCACAUAUGGGUGGGUAAGUUGGUACAACCCUUACUGAGGGCAAUUUGGCAGUUUUUCUCAAAAUUACAAAUGCCCAGAUCAGUAGUGCUCACACUUUUACUUAUUUCAUUUUAUUUUACUUAUUUUAUUUUAUUUUAUUUAUUUUAUUUUAGAGAGAGAGCACGAGUAGGGAAGGAGCAGAGGGAGACAGAGAAUCUUAAGCAGGCUCCAUGCCCAGCACGGAGUUCGACAUGGGGCUCAGUCUCACAAUGGAGAGUUCAUGACCUGAGACGAAAUCAAGGGCUGGACCCUUAACUGACCAAGCCACCCAGGUGCCCUUCACGGUUUUACUUCUGACAUUUGCCUCGCAUGUGUUUGCACAUAUGCAACAUGAUGACAUAAAGGGUUAUUUAUUGCAGUAAUAAUGAAGAUGGGAAAGAAAUUACAUUUUCUUCAAAGGGGGGCUGAUUACAUAAAUUAUGGCUUAUCUAUACAUUAAAACAAUUGAACAUCAUACAGGUAAUGAAAAGAAUAAGAAUACUUUCUACAAGGGGUGCCUGGGUGGCUCAGUCGGUUGAGCGUACGACUUCGGCUCGGGUCAUGAUCUCACUGUUCAUGAGUUCGAGCCCCACGUCGGACUCUGUGCUGACAGCUCAGAGCCUGGAGCCUGCUUCGGAUUCUGUGUCUCCCUCUCUCCCUGCCCCUCCCCUGCUCAUGCUCUGUCUGUCUCUGUCUCAAAAAUAAAUAAAGACAUUUAAAAAAAUUAAAAAAAAAAGAAUACUUUCUACUGAGAGGGGAGAAUAGGUAUAGCAGGCUGCCUUUUGUUUAUAAAGGGAAAAAGCAAAGGUCCAUAUUUAUACCUGCUUGUAAGUAUGUAAGGAAAAUCUGAAUGCACUCAGAAGGAAUAAAUAAUAUGGUUGGUCAGGGGGUAGAGGAAGUAUGGUAAAGAAAAGAAGCAAAUGGGGAUUAGGUGGGAGGGAAACUCCUCUCUCCUUCCAUGACCCUGAGGAGUAGGUUUUAAACCAAGUACUUCUAUAUGCAUACAUAAUGUAUGCACACACACACACACGUGUGUGUGAAAACAGCUAUUAAACUAAAAAGAUAGCAGAGGAAGUCAUCAGACCCCUGGAGACCACAACUAUUCCGUCAGGACACUCUGUAGGGACAGCCAUGCGAUGGGGCCACUCACCGGAAUUUCAUCCACUCUUGCUAAAAGAUGAUAUAUUGCACAUGUUAAUUCAAUUUGGACAGAAAAGGCAAUGAGAUAUGUUUCCGGUCCUACUAUCAUGCAUCCAGAAACUCCCAGAGAGCACUUUACAAAUUGACAGUCAAUAAACCAUUUCACCCAGUGGAGAAACAGAGCAAAACCCAAGAUGGAAUGCUGAUAUUCAUGCCACAGAGGACGCUCCUCCCCCAAAUACUCCAUGAUAAAAGAGUGAAAUAUUAUAGCUAGUGAACUUAGGAAUUUAGCAAAGAAAGAAUUUAUGGAGUAGCUAUAGUUCUAGAAUGAUCGAAGGCUGUAUCUUCUAAAAUAUUAAAAUGCAAAUUCAGGAAAUCUGCAGAGAAUAACACAGACCUUAUAUAUUAUAUAGGGUUUGGCACAUGGCAUGUGAUCAAUGUGAAGUGAAUCAAAAAAAAAAAAAAAGGAAAUGUAUUAAGCUGAGUGCUAUUACUCAAAUAAAUUAAAUUAAAUAGAUGAAUCUGUAUCUCUCAUAGCAUUUAUCAAAAUAUUUUAAACUGGGGAGCCCAGAGAAUAAUUAGAACUAAUACUGUGGCAGAUAAUAUUUUUGAUGUAUGUAGGUCUCAAUAACUUGCCUUUUGCCCCUUUUUGAUUUAUAGUUUAAUUUUUUUUCUGGGAGUGCCAGCUUCUUUGGAGUUAUUAGCUUCUUUUAAAAAUAAUUCUCAAAUAGCAAGCUAUUCUGUUUCCCAUCCUUGUAGGCAUCAAACAACAAGCAAAUUUUAACAUUCUCGGUGGGCAAAAUACUGGUGUUUUGAAUCAGUGUGCUACAGCUCAAGGUCAUGUAUUCAAAGUAGAAGAAUAUUAACUUUCAAAAAACUUUAGCACGAACCACCUGGGAAUAAUGAUACUUGUGUGCAAUGAAAAGAGGUCUUAGCACAUGCGCACAGACCCGGAAAAGAAUCUCCAUGAAACAAUGUAAGGUGUUUAGAAUCAGAUUAUGCCUCUGUUACUUUUCUAAGACAGGUUUCCAAUGAUUUUCCUAGUAACUGAGAUGACAUUAUAGAGAAAAUGUUGCCAAGAGCCACCCGUUGACUUGGUUGUGGCAUUUCCUCCAUUGUUACAAAGGUGAAGAGUGAAUCUCCACCAUGCUAUAGCUUUGCAGGAGGAGUGGGGGAAAUACGUUACAAAACCGCACAGAGAAUGGCCCCACUUCAGUAAGGAUCGAGUUCCCCGCAGCAUCCUAAUUUUCCCUUUCUCUACUGUCCGGCAACUUGAAAUGAAUGCCUAUGUUAAAAAUUGCCUUUAUAUUAACAUUAACAACUCAGGCAACAACAGAUGUUGGCGAGGAUGCGGAGAAAGAGGAUGUCUUUUGCACUGCUGGUGGGAAUGCAAACUGGUGCAGACACUCUGGAAAACAGUACGGAGGUUCCUCAAAAAACUAAAAACAGAACUACCUACGACCCAGCAGUUGCACUAAGAGGUAUUUAUCCAAGGGAUACAGGUGUGCUGUUUUGAAGGGACACAUGCACCCCAGUGUUUCUAGCAGCACUAGCAACAAUAGCCAAAGUGUGGAAAGAGCCCAAAUGUCCACUGAUGGAUGAACGGAUAAAGAAGAUGUGGUAUAUAUAUACAGUGGAGCAUUACUCAGCGAUCAGAAUGAAAUCUUGCCAUUUGCAACUAUGUGGAUGGAACUGGAGGGUAUUAUGCUAAGUGAAAUUAGUCAGAGGAAGACAAAUAUCAUGACUUCACUCAAAUGAGGACUUUCGGAGACAAAACAGAUGAACAUAAGGGAAGGGAAGUAAAAAUAAUAUAAAAUCGGAGGGGGACAAAACCUGAGAGACUCUUAAAUACAGAGAACAAACAGAGGGUUGCUGGGAAAUUGGAGGGGGAGGGGCUAAAUGGGCAUUAAGGAAUCUACUCCUGAAAUCAUUGUUGCACUAUAUGCUAACUGACUUGGGUGUAAGUUAAAAAAAAUAAAAUUAAUAUGCAAAAAAAUUGCCUUUAUAAGUUUACGGUUGAAGGGGUUUUUUUUGUUCUUUUAAAAGCUGCUUGAUUUCUUUUCCCAUUAUUCCCACUAAUUGCAUAACUUAAUUUCUUUUUUCAUGUUGCCCCUCAGCAUUACUUUACUGACGUUUUAGAAAGGUAAAUGUUCUGCUACCAUAAAUACCAAAAAUAUCCACAAGUCUCUGAAGCAGUCGUGAGAAAGGCAGUCCUGAC